AUGUCAAUCCUCGUAGUCAUGCAGUUUUUCAUGUUUGCCUCCCUUUGCCUCCCAUGUUCGGCCAACACCAUGCAUGCAGCCACUGACCACCAAGCGCUCAUGUCAUUGAGAUCUGUGAUCAAAGAAGAUCCGUUCCAAGCACUGAAUUCAUGGGGAAACCAGUCAAUCCCUAUGUGCCAAUGGCGCGGAGUGGCCUGUGGCACGCGCGGCCACCGCCGUGGCCGUGUCGUAGCACUGGAUCUUCAUGGGCUCAACCUUCUUGGCACCAUUUCCUCUUCCAUAGGUAAUCUAACUUACCUCAGGCAUUUUGGCCUCCAAGAGAACCGCUUUUAUGGUACCAUACCAACAGAGGUUGGGCAUCUUGUACAACUCAAGUAUCUGAAUGUCAGCAGGAACUCCAUCGGCAGGGAGAUCCCGCCGACACUGGCCACUUGUGUUCAGCUUCGAGUUAUUGAUUUGAGGCACAACAUGCAUAAAGGCUCAGUGCCUCGGGAGUUGGAAUCCCUGGAUAAUCUUGAGGUACUGGCUCUUGGGUACAACAACCUUACAGGAAGUAUUCCUGUGGAGAUUGGAAACCUGAAAGCCCUGAAGUAUCUUCAUCUGAGAGCAAACAUGCUAGUAGGAGAAAUACCAAUGGAGAUUGGAAAUCUUAGAAACUUGACCGAUUUAUAUCUUAAUUUCAAUGGUCUGUCAGGUUCUGUUCCUGCAUCUCUUGGAGGCCUCCAGAAAUUGCAGAUUCUGUAUCUAUCGGGAAACCAGCUCUCAGGGCUUAUUCCACCUUCCCUAGGAAACCUCUCAUCUCUACUAGUUCUAGAUGUCCAAAAUAAUGGCCUAACUGGAAGCAUCCCUGAAUCGUUAGGAAAUCUGAAUCUCCUCAACGUCCUUUCUCUCACAUCUAAUAGUUUUACAGGCUCAAUCCCUCACACUCUUGGAAAACUAAGUUCUCUCGUUGAGUUUUAUCUGAAUGGGAAUCAACUCGAGGGUUCUAUACCACCUUCUGUCUAUAAUCUUUCAUCCCUCCAAUAUUUUGUAGUGGAAGUCAACAACCUCAGUGGAUCUGUUUCAGAUGACUUGGGUAAUAAGUUUCCACAACUGAAGCAACUUAGCAUAGGCCAUAAUCAAUUUCAUGGGUCCAUCCCAGAGUCUUUGUGCAAUGCUUCGAUGCUUGAAAUCGUUCAAUUGGCUCACACCUUUAUUUCCGGCGUAAUACCAAAAUGUCUUGGAGCUAAUAUGAAGAGCUUAUUGGUAUUGUUUCUCCAAUCUGGUCAGCUAGAGGCAAGGAAUGACGCUGAUUUGGACUUCAUUUCUAGCCUGACAAAUUGUAGUAUGCUGCAGUACCUAGAUCUAGGCAAUAACAAACUAGAAGGGGUGCUACCAAAUUCAAUAGCAAAUCUUUCCACAAACUUAAUAAUUCUCGGCUUGGCAAACAACAUGCUACGGGGAAAUAUACCUGAAGGAAUUGGAAACCUUGUCAACUUGCAACACUUGCACUUGGAAGAUAAUUUGCUACAUGGAAAAAUUCCUGAGUCGAUUGGCAACCUUGCAAUCCUGGGUGAACUAUACUUGUCAAACAACAGUUUAUCUGGACCAAUUCCACCAAAACUUUGA
rnacentral:rRNA from 1 species